ensembl:lncRNA WDFY3-AS2 WDFY3 antisense RNA 2
GCUCCGGGAGCUGAGACCCCGCAGGAUGCAGCGGGGGGGGGCCAGGGCCUGAUCCCCUACCCCUGCGAGCCAGGGCCGCCUACGCCCCCACUGCUUCCCACAGAAGUUUCAGGAUUUCCUCUAAUAAACAUAAGGCUACUAGACGCAACAAUAGAAUUACCAUAUUGUUUUUCCUGGUUUGAAAGGACCAGAUGGAAAGAAACUGGGCAAGCCAAUGAAAGUCUCUGGGGAUCAUGGGAAUUGAGUGUCUAUGAAAACCAUAUUCCAGACAAGAAUAUAGUCUAAGGACACAGCAAGAGGCAACAUUUUGGAAGCAGAGGGCAACUCUCACUGGAAACCAAAUCUCCUGGCACCUUGAUCUUGGAUUUUACAGCCUCCAGAACUGAUAGCUGGGAGGCAUUACAUAGUCAUGUGCGAGGUCAAAACUGAGUCACCACCACAACCAAGUUCCAGCUGGCAAGAAGAGGAAAAAUAACACAGAGGAGUUAUGACCAGUGUUGUAAGGAUCUGGCCUAGAAAUGGCAUGCAUCUCUUCCACUAAUAUCCUAUUGGUAAAAAUGUAGUCACAUGGGCACACCACCUAUCUGCAUGGAAGGCUGGGAAAUGUUGAUCGGUAGGGCAGCCAUAUGUGUAGGAAGGAGAAAACAGAAUUUGGUGGAUACCUAGUAGUCUCUGCCAUACCCUUGACCAGAAAUUUUUCUUCUAAAGAAUUUAAUUCUAAAAGUUAUAGACAUUCCCAAAGAUAUACCUGCAAGCAUCACAGCUUUGUGUAUAAUUGCAAAAGUUGAAAUCAACAUGAAUGCCCAAAAUAGUGAAUUAUUUAAACAGAUUAUUACCCAUAUUAUGAAGAAAUACUCUGCAACUCUUAAAAAUAAAUGUAAUGUGCCAGGCGCAAUGGGAUAUGCCUGCAGGCCCAGCUACACGGGAGGCCAAGGCAGGAGGAUCACUUGAAAUCAAGAGUUCAAGUCUAGCCUAGACAACAUAGUGAGACUUGGUCUCUAAAAAAGAAAAAAAAAAAUAAAACUGAUGUAAUGAAUAUAUAAUUACAACAAAAGAGGUCUAACACUAUAGUAGAAAAGUUUGGGGCACUCAUCCCAUUCAUAAUUAUUUUACAUUUAAAUUACUGUUCCUACUUAAGUGGUGAGCUUGGUAACCAUUUUCAUAUCAGGUGAUACUGCUGCAGUAAUCAUAGCUGUUUGAAUCAGGAAUAAUCCCAAUCACAUUUUCUCUUAAUCGUUUAUUAUACUGGGCAUUGGGGUUGCAAGAUAAUGCACAGUCCGAGCUCAAUACAUGUCUUCAUGUACCUGUAUGUAAAUCCCACUUUUAUUCUAAAAUUCUUUGAAUAUUUUGUUUCUUGGAACCCAAUGAUCCUAAGAAAAUUAUGUACUUUUACCUGAAAAUUAAAACCAAUAUUUAUAAAAAGUGUAUAUGCAGUAUGAUACCACUUUUAAAAAAAGAUAAAUUUAUAGAAAAAAGUUUAUAUGACUGACAACAAUGUCUCUGAGUGGUAGGAUUACAGUUAAUUUUUAUUUUCUUCAUUCUACUUAUCUUUAUUUUCUGAACUUUCUACAAUGAACAUGUUUUAUUUUUACUUUUGUUAAAAUAAAUAACAUUUAAUUUGACGGAAAAUUCUAAAAAUCAACAUUUGGUAACUUAAAUAUUCAUUGGCACAUGAUUCUGUGCCUGUUUCUGGGGGUCAUUCCCAUGAGAAGAGCAGGUAGAACUUAUGAGAAUAGAGCAGUCGAAAUAUUAUAGGUUUCAUAUUUUACGGCUUUAUUGAAAACAUUGAUAUAUUGAAUAUUCAUAAAUUUUAAUUUAACUUUCUUUUAUAAUCCUUAAUGUGAGGCUAAGGUAUAAGGAGAAAGGAGAUUGGUAAGGAAGUGUGAUACAUAUUGAAUCAGGUGUCAAGGUACCAUUUGUGCCUGGAUCUGACCAAUAGACCAAGGUAAAAAUCUCAAAGAAUGAGACUUGUAAUGAGAAUGCCACAAACUUGAAUACCUUAUGCACAAAACACAAACAUUGUUAUGCAUAAUGUACAUGAACCCUGAAACAAAGAUAAUGAUUUGGACCACCCAACUGAAGUGGCAUGUUAUGUUUUUGGCAUGAACAAAAGAAACAAGAGAGAAAAAAAUCAAAAUAAUUAAAAUAAAUUGUUAGAGAAAAGUUACUUUAAAAAUAGCUAUAACGCUUUGCAAUUUCAGUAACAGUUCUGCCUCUGAUGCAAUGUAAAACAUGUAUUAGACAUUCAGGCUCCACAAUAAAUUUUAAUGAGCACUACAAAUUUAGAAUAUAUAAAAAUAUCAGUAACCUAUGAAUUCAUCAACAUAACUCACUUUUCAGUUAAGUUAGGCUGAGUUGAAAUUCUACUAAGUUUUCCCAUAUUCUUGAUAAAGGCUAAAUUUGAAAUAAUUUAUUUAGAUGACUAAUUGGCAAUUUGAUAGUAGUUACAUUUUAUGUAACACUUGAUAUAAUAACCCAAAUUAAUUAGCUCAAUAUUAUCUUCUGUGGUUUAUUGAUCCAAAAGUACAUAUUUGUUAUGUAAACUUAUACUAUGUAAACUUGAAUUAGUUUUUUGCUUCCUUGAAUUAAUAAAGCCCAUUAAUGCAAAUCUAAGCCUUCAUAGACUUUUCCAAUCCUUAGUUAAAUAUUAAAAACUGAGUAUUGUAGUUAUUUGCUAGGUAUAAAAGGUGACUCAGAGUAGAGAGUAAGAUGUCAGCAAAUAGACAAUAAGAUGUCAGCAAAAGUGCCUCAAAUUUUAACUGCGUCAAGUUAAGGGCAUUGUAAAUACUGUAGUUUUAUGUAGCUUGCAACUUCUACUGAAAUGAGUUUAAUCAUGUCUUUCACAUAGCUGAAGUUUGUGUCAAGAUUUAAGCUGAUUUUCUCAUUCUUAUCAAAGUCUCACCUGGGGGUAGGGAGGGGUAGGCCUACCUCCCACCUCUAUACUAUCAUUUUAGGAACAGACAGGCAUAAAUCUGUUCAUAUGGUAGAACACAUGAUGUUAGAGUAUAUUUUGUUGAAUGCUAUGGAAUAUUAAUAUAAUUAAUUCUAAAAUAUCACCUAAAAUAUGUCAACUGAAGAUCUGACUGUACUAAAUAUGAAAAAUAAAGCA